rnacentral:rRNA from 1 species
GUAGGUGGCAAGCGUUGUCCGGGAAUUAUUGGGGCGUAUAGCGCGCGCAGGCGGUUCGUUUAAGUCUGAUGUGAAAGCCCACGGGCUCAACCGUGGAGGGUCAUUGGAAACUGGAGAACUUGAGUACAGAAGAGGAAAGCGGAAUUCCACGUGUAGCGGUGAAAUGCGUAGAGAUGUGGAGGAACACCAGUGGCGAAGGCGGCUUUCUGGUCUGUAACUGACGCUGAGGCGCGAAAGCGUGGGGAGCAAACAGGAUUAGAUACCCUGGUAGUCCACGCCGUAAACGAUGAGUGCUAAGUGUUAGGGGGUUUCCGCCCCUUAGUGCUGCAGCUAACGCAUUAAGCACUCCGCCUGGGGAGUACGGCCGCAAAGGCUG